UUUUCUUCUUCUUCUCCUCUCCCGCGCGCGUUCUCCUUCCUCUCUCUCUCUCUCAUACCCUACCCUCUUUCACUAUAUUGAAUAUUGACGAAUAUAUCACCCCACUAUAACGCGCAGGCAAUCUUGCUUGUUUCGACUAUGAAGUUUACUUAAAAUGUAUCCUAUAAAUUUCCUGGAAACCCAGGUUUGAUGAACUGAAACGGCUGCUUCUGAAGUGACUACAAACGCUUAUUUAAAAAAUGGCUCUCUUGUUUUUUUCUCUUCAUUUGCUCUGGUUCCCAAACCACAAAUCCCUGAAGUCCUAAAUUAUCUCCGAGGAGCUGGAGGAAGAGCAGCAAUCUCUGUGCCUCGCUUGAUGGCUUUAUUGGCCAAUUCUCGUGAAUUUUGGGUUUACAAAUCACUGGUUUAGAAGGCCAUUAAGCACAUUCGUACGAAAACAGCAAUUUCACUUUGAAACUCGGUGAGUUUCUUUAUCAGUAUCAUAUGAUGUUUUGUUUCUUCCGCAGAAAAUUAGCGUUAAAUUAUAGGAGCAUUACUUUAUUAGACUCAAAGAUCCAACUGCGUGUUCUUCCUUUUAAUGCAUUAUGCAUAACCAGAUGUUUCUUAUCUAAUUUACCUCUGAAAUCAAAUGACGACUCUUUUACUAUUUCAUACCUCAUAAAUUCAUGUGGGUUAUCCCCAGAAUCCGCUAAAUCCGUCUCUAAGGAACUGCACUUUAAAAGCCCCAAUAAACCGGACUCCAUCCUUAGCUUUCUCAGAGAUCUUGGACUCACCGAUACACAAAUCUCCAAAGUUGUCAGGCGACGGCCCCGUUUGCUUUUGCGUGAUCUCAAUAAAAGAGUUUUGCCCAAUCUUGGUUUUCUUCGUUCUUUAGGGGUUUCUAGCAAUGACCUUCCAAAGAUGAUUAGUGGGAAUCCAGAUUUCCUGUUUCGGAGCUUGGAGCGGCAUCUGAUCCCGUCUUAUAAUAUCCUUAAAAGUUUACUUCUUUCUGAUGAGAAAGUAUUCAAGACUUUGAUACGCUUGUCACCAAUUGAUUUGUCCAGCGUGAAGAAGAACUUUACUCUUAAUUUACUGGUCUUAAGAGAGCUUGGAAUGCCUGAAUCCACCAUCUCCCUUUUUGUGACUAGCAGUCCUAAACGUAUGUGCCAGAAUGUGGACAAAUUUAGUAGAAAUGUCAAGGAAAUUAUAGGGAUGGGAUUUAAUCCUGUAAAAUCCGUAUUUGCUUUCGCACUCGGAGUGAAAUCACAAAUGUCCCCGAUAACAUGGAAAGGUAAAAUAGAAGUUUUUAGGAGGUGGGGUUUGUUAGAAGAUGAGAUUUUGUUGGCUUUCAGAAAGCAUCCAUUGUUUAUGAGUUUGUCUGAGAAGACAAUUAUGAAAAAUAUGGAUUUUCUUGUGAAUAAGAUGGGUUGGCAGCCUGCUGUUGUAGCCAGAACUCCAGCUGUUUUAACUUACAGUUUGGAGAAGAGGAUUGUCCCGAGGUGUUAUGUUAUAAAAGUUUUGCUUCUAAAGGGUUUGAUCAAGGAAACAAUCAGUUUACUUUCGUUUCUACCACGUUCCGACAAGAGCUUCUUAGAGUCGUUCGUGAUCAAGCAUGAGGAACAAGUGCCUCAAUUGAUGGAUGUUUUCAAAGGGAAAACUGAUCUUGCAGAAGUAUGUUUUGGGUUUGGUGAAAAAUGUAGCGCUCCAAGGGCACAGCGUGCAGCAAAUUAAUAGAAACCAAUGUUCCUAUUGAUAUUGUGAUUUUCCUUUCUCUGCUUUGAAGGGUGCAUUAAAAUUCAGGUUCUUUGUAGGCGAGAAUGGCUAAUUUCGAAUAGCUUGAUUUAGUGGGUCUGAGAAUGGAAGCUACUUAACAGCACAAGCACUUGUAUGAUACUAUUUAAACAGAUAGCAUAUUGCGUAUCAUUUAAAACAGCUUAUUUUUCCCUAAAAAAAUAAUGCAAUUAUUCUUGCGAUUCAUCUCAAUUUGGCAUAUCUACGCGUUACCAUCUUCUCACAUAUGAAAAAUAAAUACCUAGAUCUAACACAAGCAUUACUGAGUGUUAUUUUGCCUCACACCAUUUAAUAGACAGUAGACUAAUUUACAACAUCAAGCACCAGCCUUCGAGACUUCAGAACAGACCAUUUCAAUCUUCGAUAGUAAGCCGCUUGGAGAAGUGCAAGUGACAGUACAAAUAUCCACUUAAAUCCCAUCAGUUUUCUCUCCUCCAUUUCUGGUUCAGCAGCCCAUGACAGAAAUGUCACCACAUCUUUUCCCAUCUGUGAUUCUGUUGCUGGAGUACCAUCUUCAUAUUCAACAGCACCAUCAUUCAACAUUUUGGGCAUAGCGAUAGCUCCUCCGGGGAAGUAAGGAUUAUAGUGCAGCCCAUCUCGAAUCGAGACACCAGCAGGAGGAUCAUGGUAA
rnacentral:misc_RNA from 1 species